GGAACUGGUCCACACAGCAGGAGGACAGUGGUUGAUAAAGGACUGCAGCUUCGUUCAUACUGCCUUCGUCCCGGUGCCACCUCAGGAGAGGCGCUCCCGGCCGCCUGACUCGCCACCCCAGUCCUCUGCACCCCGGUGCCCAGCUCGCUGCUCCAUCACCCUGCUCAUUUAUCUGUGCGCGCCUGAGUGUCCCGCCGCACGCCGUCUGCUCCCGUGUACCCACACCUGGCCCUGCACCCCGGACAGGUAGGCUUGCCGUGGACAGUGCCCAGUGAAUGCAUGCGACUGGAGCUCACGUACCCAAACCC
rnacentral:lncRNA from 1 species